UCUUUAUGCAAAAAGGCAAAGAUGCAAACAUCAAAAUUGUUGUCAUUUACCUCUGGAGGCAUCUCACUAUGCAGAUAGUUCUGAUCGUAUCUGACCCAGACUGGUCUCUGCCUCCACCCCUGUGCAGCUGGUUUGGUAUUCCACCUGCGGCAGUUACCCUGGCUUGCAGCUCAAAGCGUUCAUGAAUGUGUUCAUACUCAAACACGCAAACAAAAGCUUGUUUGUAAAAACCCUGGUCAUCAGGGCCUGGAAGCUCUCGGAUGGAGAAAGGACUCGAGCCUGCAGCCU